GAGCGGUGGCCACAGAAGGAGAGCCGGGUCCCCCUCCUGGAGAAUGCUGCGUUCCCCAGCCCCACACCGGCUUUGCCACCACACAGGCUUUUGAGGCAGGAGGCUGGUAAGACGUAGCUGUAGACCCAAAGCAACCACCAGCCCUGGGACCCUGCGGGAGAGGAGCACUUUUAGAACACGGAAAAGUGUGGUCAUCCCAUCAUUAGACAGCACACAUCCUACAUAAAUAAAAAGUCGUAUGGGGAAGGAGGUUGGGGAGGGAAUAAAAAAUUGGCACAGACAUUGAUAGACUGGUUUCCAAUUUCAAGGUAACAGAUGCACAUCAUGAGACCAGAGGAGGCAGAGACAAGGCUGGAUUUGGCUUUUCUAAGCAACAUGUGUUCCUGUGCAGGGCUGAAUGGUCGCUGAGACAGAGAUGGAAGCCAGGACAGGGGAGCCCACCGGGCCCAGAUAGGUACAGAGAGCAGAGGCUCCUGUUCUGUCCUCACCACCCAUGAGGGUGACACUGCUUGUAAAUGGUGGCUGUGCUCUCCCAGCAAGAAAAAAGCACAACUAAAUCCACACUGCACAAAGACGCAGACAGAAAGCCUUCAAGUGGCUCUGUUUUCUGCUCCCUGCCUUGCCAGGUCCACAAGCAGAGAGGAGUGUCAGGCGCAUGGCCCCACUGUCAGGCUCCCUAGUGAGCUGCGGGUUCAGCAGGAGCUGCCCACUGACACACAGGGGACACCCACUCCUCCCACCUUGGGAGAGGUUGCCAGACAGAGCCGCACUGGGUGCUGGUGUCAUCCAGGGACCCCACACACUUCCUUAAAUGUGAUCCUGCUUCCCUCUGGGCAGCUGCAUCCUCUCCUCCUGCAGGACUGUCUGGAAACUUGGCUCUCAGUUUGCUCUCCCUUCUCUUCUCUGCCUGCCCCAAGCCCCUCUUUCUAAAAAAGUGAUGCAAUAUUCAUGGGGUUAUUUCUUGAAAAUACUUGGUGGCCUCCAUGCUUCUGUUUUCUUUGAGCCAGGUGGUCAGGAGGGCUUACAAAGAAUGCCUGGGCUCCCCCGCAAGUGCCGGCAGAUGGGGUAGCAAAUGGUCCUGUGCCUCCACCUGCUCCGGGAGGGAGUCUCCCAUCUCUAGGCCUGGCCCCUUCCUAACCCUCCAUGUAUCCUGUUCUCCAGAGACUUCAGAACCCACUCCUGAGAACAGCGGAGCCAGGCGCUUAGAGGAAGACCAAAUGCUGCCAGGACACGGACUGUCCAGGGAUUACAUUCCAGCAUCUUAUUAGGUAUCUGGAUCUGUUCGGAAAAAAAUUAGAAACUAUGUAUAAAACUUAAAAAUAUUCAAGUAUCAAAAGG
rnacentral:lncRNA from 1 species